UACAUCUGGUCGCUGUUGUCCCUACGCGAUGGAAUUCGCAGGUUUUGAUGGUGCGCAAGCUGCUGCGUGUUUUCCAGAACGGCCCUACUGUAGGGGAAAAGCUUUCUGCUUGCAAAAAGGAACGGCUGACGAACUACGACAUCAGAGUGCUUGGUGAGAACAGGAGUUGUAGUGGCACUUCAUCGCACUGGAACGAGGAAGAUGCAAUAAAAUGGCGGCGUACUUUCAGGGGACCUUGUAACCAUUCUUUCUGCCUUUGAAGAAGCCACGAACAUUCUCCAGCGUGACCACGAAACCGCGGGCCUUCUGCUUCCCGCGAUAGAGAAUCUCGAACAGUCCCUGCUUCGAAUGAAAGAAGAAAAGAAACCAUUUCGGUCUUGAGUGGUGUUGCGUCAUCGCUUUUGCAAAGUUUGAGGAAGAGGUUUGACACGGCGUGGGAUGCUGAUUAUUUCCUGGCCGGGGCUAUUCUUGAUUCGCGGUUUAAGUUAGAGUGGUGCACAGACGAGGGGCUCCGGGAGCCAAUGAAGGAGCGCAUACUAAGCUUUGCUCCACCUGAGUUGGACGGCGCCCCACAAAGUCAGAAAAAGAAACGCUCGCACUGUUCUCUGAGCUGACGCGCUCAUCGGCGUCUUCAAGCGGAAGCCGAAGCGCAAAAGCGUAUCAAGAAAUGGCACUUUACUUAUCAGAGAGCACUGUCGAUGAUGACCCAUAGUCCCUCAAGUUCUGGAGUGAAGCCAUGUCCCGCUCCCGAUACCCUAUGCUCUCCGCGGCCGUGAAACGAGUAUUAUCAGUACCUGCCAGUCCGGGUGCUGUUGAACGCGUGUUUUCUGCCGCAAAUCUUAUGAAGUCGGCGAAAAGGAACAGGCUCCACCUAUCCACUUUAGAGCACCUUGUGUUCUUGGACAAAAACCAGGUUACAUAGACUUUGUUUUUAUGUCCUCAUCGUUCGAAUAAAAUACCCAUUGCAGUUA